UAAGAGUUUGAUCCUGGCUCAGAUUGAACGCUGGCGGCAUGCUUUACACAUGCAAGUCGGACGGCAGCACAGGGAAGCUUGCUUCUCGGGUGGCGAGUGGCGAACGGGUGAGUAACAUAUCGGAACGUACCGGGUAGCGGGGGAUAACUGAUCGAAAGAUCAGCUAAUACCGCAUACGUCUUGAGAGGGAAAGCAGGGGACCUUCGGGCCUUGCGCUAUCCGAGCGGCCGAUAUCUGAUUAGCUGGUUGGCGGGGUAAAGGCCCACCAAGGCGACGAUCAGUAGCGGGUCUGAGAGGAUGAUCCGCCACACUGGGACUGAGACACGGCCCAGACUCCUACGGGAGGCAGCAGUGGGGAAUUUUGGACAAUGGGCGCAAGCCUGAUCCAGCCAUGCCGCGUGUCUGAAGAAGGCCUUCGGGUUGUAAAGGACUUUUGUCAGGGAAGAAAAGGCCGUUGCCAAUAUCGGCGGCCGAUGACGGUACCUGAAGAAUAAGCACCGGCUAACUACGUGCCAGCAGCCGCGGUAAUACGUAGGGUGCGAGCGUUAAUCGGAAUUACUGGGCGUAAAGCGGGCGCAGACGGUUACUUAAGCAGGAUGUGAAAUCCCCGGGCUCAACCCGGGAACUGCGUUCUGAACUGGGUGACUCGAGUGUGUCAGAGGGAGGUGGAAUUCCACGUGUAGCAGUGAAAUGCGUAGAGAUGUGGAGGAAUACCGAUGGCGAAGGCAGCCUCCUGGGAUAACACUGACGUUCAUGUCCGAAAGCGUGGGUAGCAAACAGGAUUAGAUACCCUGGUAGUCCACGCCCUAAACGAUGUCAAUUAGCUGUUGGGCAACUUGAUUGCUUGGUAGCGUAGCUAACGCGUGAAAUUGACCGCCUGGGGAGUACGGUCGCAAGAUUAAAACUCAAAGGAAUUGACGGGGACCUGCACAAGCGGUGGAUGAUGUGGAUUAAUUCGAUGCAACGCGAAGAACCUUACCUGGUUUUGACAUGUGCGGAAUCCUCCGGAGACGGAGGAGUGCCUUCGGGAGCCGUAACACAGGUGCUGCAUGGCUGUCGUCAGCUCGUGUCGUGAGAUGUUGGGUUAAGUCCCGCAACGAGCGCAACCCUUGUCAUUAGUUGCCAUCAUUCGGUUGGGCACUCUAAUGAGACUGCCGGUGACAAGCCGGAGGAAGGUGGGGAUGACGUCAAGUCCUCAUGGCCCUUAUGACCAGGGCUUCACACGUCAUACAAUGGUCGGUACAGAGGGUAGCCAAGCCGCGAGGCGGAGCCAAUCUCACAAAACCGAUCGUAGUCCGGAUUGCACUCUGCAACUCGAGUGCAUGAAGUCGGAAUCGCUAGUAAUCGCAGGUCAGCAUACUGCGGUGAAUACGUUCCCGGGUCUUGUACACACCGCCCGUCACACCAUGGGAGUGGGGGAUACCAGAAGUAGGUAGGGUAACCGCAAGGAGCCCGCUUACCACGGUAUGCUUCAUGACUGGGGUGAAGUCGUAACAAGGUAGCCGUAGGGGAACCUGCGGCUGGAUCACCUCCUUU
rnacentral:rRNA from 1 species